CUACAGCAGAUUUCCGGGGCGGAGGGACGUCUGCUGAUGAACAGGGGACAUCUUACACAACGCUUCGGACUUCGCUUGAGCAGCUAGCCUGGCCGGCCCAGCGUCGUCUUCCCGGACACAGCGAGGACAUGGAUGAGUCAACGCCCCUCCCCCCACGUCCUUCCCUCCCCCACCCCUCACUUCGUACGAGGUCAAGGCCGAGCCCGGGUCUGGCUUCCGAAGCCCACCUGAGGGACCAAGUCCAGCCAACCACGCGCAAGUGCUCCCUGCCCGUCCUGGGCCCCGCACCCUGCCUCCCCUUGCCGGCUGGCCCCUCUGUGUAGGGGUGCGUCUUCCCACCAGGGGCUCAGCAGGACGAGCUUUUGGGCGGCGGGGAUCACCUCCCUCACCCGUUUCUCCCGCAUCCAAAGGUCACAGCCGGUAGCAAAGAAAACUAACAAGCAGUUGGGCAAAAAUUAAAUGCACACAGCAGACCGUU